AGCGGCGGAUGGGUGAGUAACACGUGGGGAACCUGCCCCUAAGUCUGGGAUACCAUUUGGAAACAAGUGCUAAUACCGGAUAAUAAAGCAGAUCGCAGGAUCAGCUUUUGAAAGGCGGCGUAAGCUGUCGCUAAGGGAUGGCCCCGCGGUGCAUUAGCUAGUUGGUAAGGUAACGGCUUACCAAGGCGACGAUGCAUAGCCGAGUUGAGAGACUGAUCGGCCACAUUGGGACUGAGACACGGCCCAAACUCCUACGGGAGGCAGCAGUAGGGAAUCUUCCACAAUGGACGCAAGUCUGAUGGAGCAACGCCGCGUGAGUGAAGAAGGUUUUCGGAUCGUAAAGCUCUGUUGUUGGUGAAGAAGGAUAGAGGUAGUAACUGGCCUUUAUUUGACGGUAAUCAACCAGAAAGUCACGGCUAACUACGUGCCAGCAGCCGCGGUAAUACGUAGGUGGCAAGCGUUGUCCGGAUUUAUUGGGCGUAAAGCGAGCGCAGGCGGAAAAAUAAGUCUAAUGUGAAAGCCCUCGGCUUAACCGAGGAACUGCAUCGGAAACUGUUUUUCUUGAGUGCAGAAGAGGAGAGUGGAACUCCAUGUGUAGCGGUGGAAUGCGUAGAUAUAUGGAAGAACACCAGUGGCGAAGGCGGCUCUCUGGUCUGCAACUGACGCUGAGGCUCGAAAGCAUGGGUAGCGAACAGGAUUAGAUACCCUGGUAGUCCAUGCCGUAAACGAUGAGUGCUAAGUGU
rnacentral:rRNA from 1 species